AUUGAACGCUGGCGGCAGGCUUAACACAUGCAAGUCGAGCGAGCGGCGGACGGGUGAGUAAUGUCUGGGAACCUGCCUGAUGGAGGGGGAUAACUACUGGAAACGGUAGCUAAUACCGCAUACUAUCAGAUGUGCCCAGAUGGGAUUAGCUAGUCGGUGGGGUAAUGGCUCACCUAGGCGACGAUCCCUAGCUGGUCUGAGAGGAUGACCAGCCACACUGGGACUGAGAAACGGGCCGUACGCCUACGGGAGGCAGCAGUGGGGAAUUUUGCACAAUGGGGGCAAGCCUGAUGCAGCCAUGCCGCGUGUGUGAAGAAGGCCUUCGGGUUGGAAAGUACUUUCAGCGAGGAGGCGUUACUCGCAGAAUAAGCACCGGCUAACUCCGUGCCAGCAGCCGCGGUAAUAC
rnacentral:rRNA from 1 species